rnacentral:misc_RNA from 1 species
GAUGAAGAACGUAGCGAAAUGCGAUAAGUAAUGUGAAUUGCAGAAUUCAGUGAAUCAUCGAAUCUUUGAACGCACAUUGCGCCCGCCAGUAUUCUGGCGGGCAUGCCUGUCUGAGCGUCAUUUCAACCCUCAUGCCCCUAGGGCGUGGUGUUGGGGAUCGGCCAAAGCCCGCGAGGGACGGCCGGCCCCUAAAUCUAGUGGCGGACCCGUCGUGGCCUCCUCUGCGAAGUAGUGAUAUUCCGCAUCGGAGAGCGAUGAGCCCCUGCCGUUAAACCCCCAACUUUCCAAGGUUGACCUCAGAUCAGGUAGGAAUACCCGCUGAACUUAAGCAUAUUAAUAAGCGGAGGA